CAGUCUUAGUUACUAUGUAGUAUAUUUUUCAUUCAUGUUCCUCUUUAAGUUUAUUUAUAUAUGCAAUAAAAUUAGUUGCAAACCAAACUAUUAAAUUCCUCUUGUACCAUAUAUGUUCUUUCAAAGCAGUACUACAUUCUUUGACUUGACAUAACUGCAAUUUCACCUUUGGCUCUUUACUUUUUACAGAGCUGCAAGAUCUGCUAGCAACACUUAUCAACCAACUUUUGUAAGGUCUGACUGGUUUUGUAUAGAAAUAUUCGAUAGAGAACUCAAUAAUCAAACCUACCAACAUGUUAACAUGUGAGGGUGCAAUUGAAUUGAUUUACAUAAAUCUGGAACAAGAGGAAGAACUGAGGAUUCUUCAAGAAGCUGCUUCUAUUUAUGCACAAUUGCGUCGUAGCCAGCACGCAUAAUUUUUCCAUUCUAUCCAGCCAUGAAGAAGGCGCCCACCCAUGAGCUAUUAGUCAGUAAGUAUCAGGAAUAACCUAGUAUUUAUAAUCUGUACGUAUAGAAUAAUUAGCAGUG